rnacentral:lncRNA from 1 species
AUACCAUCAUCUUAUUGGAUAAGGAUAAAGCUCAAGUUGUUUAAGCAUGUCUCCUCUGUUCCUAAGCCACACAAGAUGUAGAUAGGUUCUAUGCCUUCAAGCCUUUAGAUGUAGGUUUAAGACUAUCAUAAAUACUAGUGCAACAUUUAGGCUCGAAUAUGUCAAAAUGUCACCUUUGAGUUUUGACAAAACAUAGUUGUUGUUGUUGUUGUUCUAAUAUAAGUUCGACAUAAAUAGGAACGAUUAAGCAUGGUUAAAACUCCAACAAACACAACGACAUCCUCAACAUUAUUUUGUCUCAACCAAGGUCACUUUAUAACCUUCCUUUUGACAAGGGAGCUAUUGUUGUAUAUCUUUACCUCACUUAAAAGGUCUCACCAAG